rnacentral:rRNA from 1 species
ACGAAGGGUGCAAGCGUUACUCGGAAUUACUGGGCGUAAAGGGUGCGUAGGUGGUUUUUUAAGUCUGCUGUGAAAUCCCCGGGCUCAACCUGGGAAUGGCAGUGGAUACUGGCGAGCUGGAGUGCGGUAGAGGAAGGUGGAAUUCCCGGUGUAGCGGUGAAAUGCGUAGAGAUCGGGAGGAACACCAGUGGCGAAGGCGGCCUUCUGGACCAGCACUGACACUCAAGCACGAAAGCGUGGGGAGCAAACAGGA